rnacentral:rRNA from 1 species
UACGAGGGGAGCAAGCGUUGUUCGGAUUUACUGGGCGUAAAGGGCGCGUAGGCGGCGUGACAAGUCACUUGUGAAAUCUCCGGGCUUAACUCGGAACGGUCAAGUGAUACUGUCGUGCUAGAGUACAGAAGGGGCAACUGGAAUUCUCGGUGUAGCGGUGAAAUGCGAAGAUAUCGAGAGGAACACCUGCGGCGAAGGCGGGUUGCUGGGCUGAUACUGACGCUGAGGCGCGAAAGCCAGGGGAGCGAACGGG